rnacentral:rRNA from 1 species
GACAAAGGAUGCAAGCGUUAUCCGGAAUGAUUGGGCGUAAAGCGUAUGUAGGUGGCUUUUUAAGUCCGCCGUCAAAUCCCAGGGCUCAACCCUGGACAGGCGGUGGAAAGUACCAAGCUGGAGUACGGUAGGGGCAGAGGGAAUUUCCGGUGGAGCGGUAAAAUGCGUAGAGAUCGGAAAGAACACCAACAGCGAAAGCACUCUGCUGGGCCGACACUGACACUGAGAGACGAAAGCUAGGGGAGUGAAUAGG